GCAGGCUUGGCGAGAUACAGCUCGAGCUGAAUAAACUCAGCCUGUCUGUCUGCCCUCAGCACGACAGCAAAUGCUGUUAGCAUAGAGGCAAUCCAUCACUCGCUGUAUGUGCGCCUUGGAGAAAUGGCAUAAGAGAAAUAGAGAUGUGAGCUGAAUCUCUCUGUGAGAGUUUGUGUGCAUUAGGGGAUUACGGAGACUGCGUGUCAGGGAAGACUAUAUCCUGCUUCAUUGUCAGUGGCCACCAUUGCUGCUCAGGCAUCACAGGGAUUCCCAGCCCCACCACUGCAUUAUCUCACUCACUUCUGUGGCGUAUCUGUGAUAUCUCAGAGGCUCAGCAUCACACUGUGUGUUGACCUGAAGUAAAAGACUAUUGAAGAGCUGCUGUUGUGUACGAGACAAAGCCCUGCUGCCCCCUACAGCCCCUCCAUUAUGACAUCACCGUCUUAAUGUUUUCACACAAUGCACGAGAGAUCACCACCAAGAUAUAUGAAGAGUUUGGUUCCAAAAUACGAUAAAUGGCAUUUAAAAAAAAUUAGUUACCACCGAAAUCAGUAAUUUAUCAGGUCAGUAUUAAAAAGUAAAUUCUUAAUUUUAAGCAAAAUCUGAUAUCCAGCGUGUUAUUUGUCAUCUGUUCUCCCUUUUUUCCCAAAACGUGAUAAACUCCUCCUUCUCUGCAGAAUGCAAUAAAUCUGCU